GACGAACGCUGGCGGCGUGCUUAACACAUGCAAGUCGAACGGAAAGGCCCUGCUUUUGUGGGGUGCUCGAGUGGCGAACGGGUGAGUAACACGUGAGUAACCUGCCCUUGACUUUGGGAUAACUUCAGGAAACUGGGGCUAAUACCGGAUAGGAGCUCCUGCUGCAUGGUGGGGGUUGGAAAGUUUCGGCGGUUGGGGAUGGACUCGCGGCUUAUCAGCUUGUUGGUGGGGUAGUGGCUUACCAAGGCUUUGACGGGUAGCCGGCCUGAGAGGGUGACCGGGCACAUUGGGACUGAGAUACGGCCCAGACUGCUACGGGAGGCAGCAGUGGGGAAUAUUGCACAAUGGGCGGAAGUCUGAUGCAGCAGCGCCGCGUGCGGGAUGACGGCCUGCGGGUUGUAAACCGCUUUCGCCUGUGACGAAGCGUGAGUGACGGUAAUGGGUAAAGAAGCACCGGCUAACUACGUG
rnacentral:rRNA from 1 species